AAAUAAUGUCAGGUAAUAGAGGACAACUGUGCAGAACUCUGCUGAUGGUCUGAGGCCCAAUAUAGCUGAAACUAGAUAUACGGCUACUCUUGAUUCAGAAAGAUAUUUCACGGUGAAGGAUAAUUAAGACCAAAUGCUGAUGUUGCUCGG